rnacentral:tRNA from 1 species
GGGCCCGAAGUUUAUCCGGUUGAACGCCUCGUUUGCAACGAGGAGGUAGGGGGUUCGACUCCCCCCGGGUCCA